GACGAACGCUGGCGGCGUGCUUAACACAUGCAAGUCGAGCGAGAAAGCACCUUCGGGUGUGAGUACAGCGGCGAACGGGUGAGUAACACGUGGGCAACCUGCCCCGGAGACUGGGAUAACGUCCCGAAAGGGACGCUAAUACCGGAUGACGCGUGACCUGCCAAGUGGGUCACGCCAAAUGGUAGCCUCGGCUUCUGCUCCGGGAUGGGCCCGCGCCGGAUUAGCUUGUUGGUGGGGUAACGGCCCACCAAGGCGACGAUCCGUAGCUGGUCUGAGAGGACGAUCAGCCACACUGGGACUGAGACACGGCCCAGACUCCUACGGGAGGCAG
rnacentral:rRNA from 1 species